rnacentral:rRNA from 1 species
ACUUUUAAUCUUCGGAAUUGUAGUCUGUAUAAGCUACGUCAUCUCUAGUCGUCGGUAAAGUGUCCUGGAAYGGACCGCCAAGGAGGGUGAUAGCCCCGUUCAUACCRACGAUGAAGGUGUUCGACCAGCUUUUUAAGAGUCGAGUUGCUUGGGACUGCAGCUCUAAGCGGGUGGUAAAUUCCAUCUAAAGCUAAAUAUUGGUGGGAGACCGAUAGCAAACAAGUACCGUGAGGGAAAGAUGAAAAGAACUUUGAAAAGAGAGUUAAAAAGUACCUGAAAUUGCUGAAAUGGAACCGAUAAGAGGCAGUGUUAGUACGCUAUCUACGCGAGAGCGAAGUUCGUAUAAGUUAGGCUUGUUUAAUUGCGUGGGAGAGCUUCGGCGUCACGCGGUUGAACGACUCUGACGAAAUGCCUCCUAUCAUCCCGUCUUGAAACACGGACCAAGGAGUCUAACAUGUUUGCGAGUGCUCGGAGUUUAACUCCAAGCGCGGAAUUAAUGUGAAUGUGACCUAGUCACUAAGGUAGGAUCCUUCGGGUGCACUAUCGACCGACCACUGUCCUACGGGUACGAGGUUUGAGUGUGAGCAUACAUGUUGGGACCCGAAAGAUGGUGAACUAUGCUUGAGUAGGACGAAGCCAGGGGAAACUCUGGUGAAGGUCCGCAGCGAUUCU